UCCGUUUCGAUGCGUUGUUGAAUCCGGGCUUUCUUCAAAGUGCAAUAAUGUGGAAGAAGAGUAUUUCUUGGCAUAUAAGAUCUUGGGAAGCCCGAGACUUAGGUUUGGAUUAGCUUAAGAAGCGGACAAGGUAUAGAUAGUCGGUUUGGUGACCCUUCAGCAUAGGACUUCUACUCAGCUGUUUUGGAGAGCUCCGUUGUUCCGGAGUCUAGACUUUUGG